AUGACCACAACCCACAACAACAUAAGAUAUGUGUCCUCUCCACUGUCACUGGGUACACAAGGUCCUCACCAUGAAUGGAGCUGGGUCAUCCUCUUCCUUGUAGAAGAAGCUACAGAUAAGGGUGUGCACUCCCAGGUCCAACUGCAUCAGUCUGGGGCUGAGCUAGGGAGCCCUCGGGCCUCAGUGAAGCUCUACAGCACGGCAUCUAGCUACACCUUCACUAGCUACACUAUGAACUGUGUGAAGCAGAGGCCUGGAAAUGGUCUGGAGAGGAUUGCAUGGUUUUUCCCUGGAAAUGGUGAUACAAAGUACAAUCAGAAGUUCCAGGGCAAGGCCAAAAUGACUGCAGACACAUCCUCUAGCACAGCCUACAUGGAGCUCAGCAGCCUGACCUCUGAGGACUCUGCUAUCUAUUAA